GAUUUUCAAAAUUUAGAUCUUUAGAAGGUGGCAUUCCGAAUUUCCGGCUCAAGUCUGUGAGCCUUGAUGUGGGUGAAUUGGAGCCGGAGGGGAUUCAGAGUGGCCAUGGUGAACACUUUUGGGUUUGAAAAAGAGACUGGUUUUCUUAAGUUAUUUUUAAUUACUAUUUAAUUUUUGGGUUGUAAUAA